rnacentral:rRNA from 1 species
UACGUAGGGCGCAAGCGUUAUCCGGAAUUAUUGGGCGUAAAGAGCUCGUAGGCGGUCUGUUGCGUCCGCUGUGAAAACUCGGGGCUUAACCCCGAGCCUGCAGUGGAUACGGGCAGACUAGAGGUAGGUAGGGGAGAAUGGAAUUCCCGGUGUAGCGGUGAAAUGCGCAGAUAUCGGGAGGAACACCGGCGGCGAAGGCGGUUCUCUGGGCCUUACCUGACGCUGAGGAGCGAAAGCGUGGGGAGCGAACAGG